GGCAGGGUAGCUCAACGGUGGAGCGGUGUCUUCAUAAGGCAACGGUUGAGGGUCCGAAUCCCUCCCCUGCUA
rnacentral:tRNA from 1 species